CCCUUAGAUGUUCUGGGCCGCACGCGCGCUACACUGACGAAUGCAACGAGCUUAUAACCUUGGCCGAAAGGUCUGGGUAAUCUCCAAAUUUCGUCGUGAUGGGGAUAGAUGAUUGCAAUUAUUCAUCUUCAACGAGGAAUUCCUAGUAAACGCAAGUCAUCAGCUUGCAUUGAUUACGUCCCUGCCCUUUGUACACACCGCCCGUCGCACCUACCGAUUGAAUGGUCCGGUGAAAUCUUCGGAUCUGAGAGAUGUCUGAUUAAUUUCGGACGCCUUUUGGAAAAGUUGUUUAAACCUUACCAUUUAGAGGAAGGUGAAGUCGUAACA
rnacentral:rRNA from 1 species